rnacentral:tRNA from 1 species
UCCCUGGUGGUCUAGUGGCUAAGACUGGUCACUCCCAAUGUAGGAGUCCCAGGUUUGAUUCCUGGUCAGGGAA